rnacentral:rRNA from 1 species
AGAGUUUGAUCCUGGCUCAGGACGAACGCUGGCGGCGUGGAUUAGGCAUGCAAGUCGAACGCGAACGAAAGUCUUCGGAUUUUCAAGUAGAGUGGCGAACGGGUGAGUAACGCGUAGAUAAUCUAUCCAUAAGUGGGGGAUAGCCUCGGGAAACCGAGAUUAAUACCGCAUGUGUUCCUUAAUAUUAAUUAUUUUGGAAUAAAGGUGGCCUCUGUUAACAAGCUAUUGCUUAUGGGUGAGUCUGCGUCCUAUUAGUUAGUUGGUUGGGUAAUGGCUGACCAAGGCGAUGAUAGGUAGGCGGCCUUAACGGGUGGUCGCCCACACUGGGAUUGAGAUACGGCCCAGACUCCUACGGGAGGCAGCAGUCGAGAAUCGUCUACAAUGGGGGAAACCCUGAUAGUGCGACGCCGCGUGGAUGAAGAAGCAUUUCGGUGUGUAAAGUCCUUUUCUUUGUGAGCAAUGCUCUUAAUAUUAACAGUAUUAGGAGAGAGAUAUUAGCAGAGGAAUAAGCUCCGGCUAACUCCGUGCCAGCAGCCGCGGUAACACGGGGGGAGCAAGCGUUGUCCGGAAUUACUAGGCGUAAAGGGUAAGUAGGCGGAAUUAUAAGUCAGAUGUUAAAGGCACCAGCUCAACUGGUGUACGGCAUUUGAUACUGUAAUUCUAGAGUAAGGUGGGGGAAGACGGAAUUCCUGGUGUAGCGGUGGAAUGCGCAGAUAUCAGGAAGAACACCAGUGGCGAAGGCGGUCUUCUAUACCAUUACUGACGCUCAAUUACGAAGGUGUGGGUAUCGAACAGGAUUAGAUACCCUGGUAGUCCACACAGUAAACGAUAUACACUAGAUGUUGGUUUGGGCAAAGUCCGAGUCAGUGUCGCAGCUAACGCGUUAAGUGUAUCGCCUGGGGAGUACGAUCGCAAGGUUGAAACUCAAAGGAAUUGACGGGGGCCCGCACAAGCGGUGGAGCAUGUGGUUUAAUUCGAUGCAACGCGAAGAACCUUACCUGGGCUUGACAUCCCGAGAAUAUUUUAGAGAUAAGAUAGUGCCUUUCGGGGAUCUCGGAGACAGGUGCUGCAUGGCUGUCGUCAGCUCGUGUCGUGAGAUGUUGGGUUAAGUCCCGCAACGAGCGCAA